rnacentral:lncRNA from 1 species
GCAAUCUUCCGGGCUGUCAUCGGCUUUGAACUAAUUUAUUGUGUCAGCCGAAGAAGGCCUUUCCUCCCUUCCUUGCUCGAGGAGGCCCCAGCCCUGUCCGAGGCUCUUCGGAUCAAUGUUUUCCUUGUGAGAGGGUGCUUCCUCUGCUCCUACUUUGCUUACAAGGAGCCUAACACGAUGUUGUCCUGGUGUUGUGUGUCUUCGGGGUGUGACGACAAGCUAGUUCUGAGCGACCUCACAGCUGCACCUGUCCUAGGAGGCCUCACCUGGCCCUUUAAUAGAAUCACCCAGAGAGAUGGAUGCGAGACGGCUCAGCAAUUAAGAUCACUUGCUGCUCUUCUAGAGGCCUGGACUUCCACUCCCAGCAUCCACAUAAGGAUGAAGUCUCUCCAUGGAAGUGCUUCCUGCUACUGAGCAGAGACCAGCUCUCAGGACCUUGGCUUUCUGUUUGUCACCUCAUCCAGCUUCCCAGAGACUCUGGGCAUGAAUAGUGCCUAAGGAUGACGAAGAUUCGACCAAGGAUGUGGUUAGAGUCUAGAAUAAUGACCCAUCUUGGACACAGAUGACGCAAAUGAAAUUUCAGAGCUACAAAUAUCUGGGUGGAUUUCUCCUCCCUUGGGGCUGAGG